UAUGGNUCAACCAUAGUGUGCUCUGGAAACUNUCUGACUUGAGUGCAGAAGGGGAGAGUGGAAUUCCAUGUGUAGCGGUGAAAUGCGUAGAUAUAUGGAGGAACNCCAGUGGCGAAAGCGGCUCUCUGGUCUGUCACUGACGCUGAGGCUCGAAAGCGUGGGUAGCGAACAGGAUUAGAUACCCUGGUAGCCCACGCCGUAAACGAUGAGUGCUAGGUGUUAGGCCCUUUCCGGGGCUUAGUGCCGGAGCUAACGCAAUAAGCACUCCGCCUGGGGAGUACGACCGCAAGGUUGAAACUCAAAGGAAUUGACGGGGGCCCGCACAAGCGGUGGAGCACGUGGUUUAAUUCGAAGCAACGCGAAGAACCUUACCAGGUCUUGACAUCCCGAUGCUAUUCUUAGAGAUAGGAAGUUACUUCGGUACAUCGGAGACAGGUGGUGCAUGGUUGUCGUCAGCUCGUGUCGUGAGAUGUUGGGUUAAGUCCCGCAACGAGCGCAACCCUUAUUGUUAGUUGCCAUCAUUAAGUUGGGCACUCUAGCGAGACUGCCGGUAAUAAACCGGAGGAAGGUGGGGAUGACGUCAAAUCAUCAUGCCCCUUAUGACCUGGGCUACACACGUGCUACAAUGGUCGGUACAACGAGUUGCGAGCCGGUGACGGCAAGCUAAUCUCUGAAAGCCGAUCUCAGUUCGGAUUGGAGGCUGCAACUCGCCUCCAUGAAGUCGGAAUCGCUAGUAAUCGCGGAUCAGCACGCCGCGGUGAAUACGUUCCCGGGCCUUGUACACACCGCCCGUCACACCACGAGAGUUUGUAACACCCGAANUCGGUG
rnacentral:rRNA from 1 species